rnacentral:rRNA from 1 species
UACGUAGGUGGCAAGCGUUGUCCGGAUUUACUGGGCGUAAAGAGCGCGCAGGCGGUCGUUCAAGUCGCGUGUGAAAGCCCCCGGCUCAACUGGGGAGGGUCACGCGAUACUGAUCGACUCGAAGGCAGGAGAGGGAAGUGGAAUUCCCGGUGUAGUGGUGAAAUGCGUAGAUAUCGGAAGGACCAUCAGUGGCGAAAGCGGCUUCCUGGACCAGCACCGACGUUCAGGCACGAAAGCGUGGGGAGCAAACAGG